rnacentral:misc_RNA from 1 species
CGGCUUGGUGAUGAAGUAAAACCAGCCCCAGUCGAUCAUGAGCUCGAACCGGGGGAUGCCCGCCUGGGUCUCAUAGGCGUCGAUCACGUCGACCUCCUUGGCACCGGCGAAAAGCAAGGUUUCCGCAGUGGCGCUGGCACCGCCCGCAACGGCGACUGGCGCUCCCAGGAAGUCGGCCUGGUAAAUCGGUUGCAGGU